GACGAACGCUGGCGGCGUGCUUAACACAUGCAAGUCGAACGGUGAAGGGACUGGUUUUGCUGGUCCUGGAUGAGUGGCGAACGGGUGAGUAACACGUGAGUAACCUGCCCCCUUCUUCUGGAUAACCGCAUGAAAGUGUGGCUAAUACGGGAUAUUCUGGGUCUGUCGCAUGGUGGGCCUGGGAAAGAUUGCGCCUUUUUUGGUGUUUUUGGUGGGGGAUGGGCUCGCGGCCUAUCAGCUUGUUGGUGGGGUGAUGGCCUACCAAGGCGGUGACGGGUAGCCGGCCUGAGAGGGUGGACGGUCACACUGGGACUGAGACACGGCCCAGACUCCUACGGGAGGCAGCAGUGGGGAAUAUUGCACAAUGGGCGCAAGCCUGAUGCAGCGACGCCGCGUGAGGGAUGGAGGCCUUCGGGUUGUGAACCUCUUUCGCCAGUGAAGCAGGCCUGCCUCUUUUUGUGGGUGGGUCGACGGUAGCUGGAUAAGAAGCGCCGGCUAACUACGUG
rnacentral:rRNA from 1 species